GUGCUCAUUUCAGCAGCAGAUGUACUAAAAUUGGAACAACCCAGAAAAGACUAGCAAGGUCCCUGCAUAAGGAUGACACAUAAAUUGAUGAAGCAUUCCAUAUUUUU